GCUAAACAAUUAUAUUUGGGUUUACAAACACAUGAAUGAUUAAAAUAAAUCAUUGAAACUUUCUAUAAAGGAUAAAUUUUCAUAAAUUUACAUAUUUGUGGUUACUGAUUAGAUCAUGUUGUUUGAGGAAGAGUAUUGGAAUAGGUUGAAAGUUAAUCUUAAUUAAUGGUAGUAAUUAGAGAAUGGAUUUUUCCUAGUUUUUACAGUAGUUGAGUCAGAAUUUCAAGUAGGUCUUUAUGGUUUCUUAUAUGAUUCAGAACUGGCAUGAAAAACAUUUCAGUACAUUUGUGUUAUUUCUGUGUAGUAAUAUCAGCUGUUUAUCUCCAUUCGCUGUUCCUGAUUAUUCUAAAAUCAUCCUAAUUUGUGUGUCCUGGUGUCUUAUUUGUAUCUAAUUGGCUAUAUUGUAUAAUUACUUCUCAGAUGAGCACAAUGAAAGGAAGAGAUUUACAGAUAAUCUGAGGACAGCUGACAUUCCUAUGGUCUUUCUUAAUUCAUAAGUCUUAACUGGGAACUACAGGAGAUAAUUCUAAGAAAACACACUUUUGCCAUCUUUGUUUGUAAUUGCAAGAAUCAGUACCAUAAGACCUCUGUUGGCAACAUUAUUCAUUUGAGUAUUCGUCAUCUCCCAUCUCUGGUUUCGGGAAUACUGCUUGGCAAAAUGAUUGUGAUGACCAAAUAGGAAACUGAUGUUAUUGCUUCUGACACCAUCUUCAAAUCCAAAAACGGUCUUUAUAAUGUAUGGAGACUCCUCCUUUCAUGUGUUGGAGUAAGACACUCCUCCAGAACAACUGGACUGAGAAAGCCCUUGUUUGAAAGUUACCUAAAGAUUAUCAUUGGAGGGAAUUGUAACCAGGCAUGUUGACUGUUUUCAUUAUUGACAUUGCACUAAAUCUCGGGAGCUUGAAUGAUGGAGAUGCUAUUACACAGAGAAGCUCAGGAUGAUAUGAUUGCAAGGCUUCAUUUCAAUGUUCCCAUAAAUAUUAAGUGCACAUAUUUAUAAUUUUCACUUUUAACAGGGUAAAUUUAAAAUUGAUGCAGAAAAAUAAAUUACCUUUUUUCCAGAUUUGAAAGGACACAAAGUUGUAAAGGGUAGUAUUUUUACUUUUUAAAUGCUUUUUCCUCCCUCCUAAUUCUACUCCCCAACAUUAUCUGCUGUUAAGGAGUUUUGUGCAUAUCCUUUUGGGGUGUAUCAAUAAACAAAUUGAUAAUGCCAGUAGUCAUUUGGGCCCAUACAUUAGCUACAAAUUUUCUCUUCAGUGAACAUGCUUAUAUGUAAUCUAUUUUUUAACUUCUCCAGCUAAGUUGUUGAAAUAGUCCUACUACUUCCACUUCAUUGGAAUUAAGUAUUUCCAAAAUUUAUGUUUUGAGUUAAAAGUAGAGAUUUCCCCAGAAUUGUGUAAAUUAUCCUCAUCAAUAUUGUCUCCCAGUGUUUGUUUAUGAGACUUAUUUUUUCUAAAACAGUACAAACAUUGGAUGUCAAUGUUUUAAUUUUUGAUAGUAUGAUUACUACAAAGAAAUUGUUUUUCUUCAGUUAUUGUUCAUUUCAGUCAUCUUCAUAUGUCCUUAAACUGUACUAGUCAUUUGUUAUUCUGUGUUUUGUGUUAUUUUGUUUUUUGUUUUUUUUCAUUUCCCUUGGAAUACUAGUGUCUUUGUUACUGGCUUUUAAAAGAUCUUUUAUGACUAACGAUUUUAACCAUUUACCAUGCUUUGCAAAUGAAAUACCAUGUUUUUUCACCAUUUUACUGUGAUAUUUUACUUUUUGGUGUACAGAAGUUGUAUAUUGAAAUAUAACAAUAUUGUGUUUCAUGCCUUUUGAGUUUUGUGUUUUUAUUUAAAACAUGACUGCAUUACUAUCUUUUGUAUUUUCUUUUGUUGUUAAUUAUUUUGUCAUUUUUUCCCCAUCAAUCGUUACUGUGGCUUUAAAGCAUUACUUACUCAAAUAAUUAACUUAAGCAGUUACCAAUUAUUUUAAUUUCUACCAUAGUAAUUUAGAAAUUCCCAAAUAAUAUCAGCUGCAUUUCUAUUUUCUUGCCUUACCUUCUAUUGAUACUUUAAAAUUACUGAUGAUUUUUAGUCUAUUCCAUUGAGUUCUAUGUCAUUUCUCUUCUUUUUUUCAGAAUAUUCCCUGUCUAUAGUCACAUUUUUUUCUCUCAAUUGAUGCUUAAAAUUAUUUUGCAAGUUGGAAAAAAUGCAGUUUUAAUUUCAUUUGCACCAAAUUUAAUAGAUUAAUUAGGAGAGAAUAGAUCUCUUUAAAAUUGAGUCUUCCUCUCCAACUGCAAGGUUAAUGCAAGAGUGGAAGGGAGUGUGGAUAAGAUACUGUGGAUAUAAAGUGAUAAUGCAAAAUGAACUGAUUAAUAGAUGGACACAAGAAUGAAUGAUUUGAUGGAUAUGGGCCUAAAAGAAUAUAUAGUUUUAACUGAGGUGUUACCAGCUUAAGAAGUGAGACAUUUUAGAUGCUUCACUACCUGACAUUUCCAUAUCAAUCCAAAUUCUUAUACUUGUUUAUCAUUUCUGUGGACUUCAUUCUUCAACAGUGCUGCAUGUUUCAUAAGCAAGGACCAAAGAGACUUUGACCACAGGUGGUGAACAAGUAUACAAGAGGAUCAUAGAUACCUUCCUGCAGUGGUUCCAUCCACAGCAUCGCCAAAUUGAUGUUGUUAUUUCCCUCUUUUUGAAGCUUAUUGCAUCAUUGUAUCUCAAAGGGCACAAGUUAUAAAUAUAAAUAUAGAUAUAAAUGUAAAUAUAGAUAUAGAUAUAAAUAUAAAUAUAAAUAUAAAUAUAAAUAUAAAUAUAAACCUC